rnacentral:rRNA from 1 species
CGCUAUCACUCCUACGGGAGGCAGCAGUGGGAAUAUUGCACAAUGGGGGAAACCCUGAUGCAGCCAUGCCGCGUGUGUGAAGAAGGCCUUCGGGUGUAAAGCACUUUCAGUAGGGAGGAAGGUAGUGUAGUUAACACCUGCACUAUUUGACGUUACCUACAGAAGAAGCACCGGCUAACUCCGUGCCAGCAGCCGCGGUAAUACGGAGGGUGCGAGCGUUAAUCGGAAUUACUGGGCGUAAAGCGCAUGCAGGCGGCCUGUUAAGUCAGAUGUGAAAGCCCGGGGCUUAACCUCGGAAUUGCAUUUGAAACUGGCAGGCUAGAGUCUUGUAGAGGGGGUAGAAUUUCAGGUGUAGCGGUGAAAUGCGUAGAGAUCUGAAGGAAUACCAGUGGCGAAGGCGGCCCCCUGGACAAAGACUGACGCUCAGAUGCGAAAGCGUGGGGAGCAAACAGGAUUAGAUACCCUGGUAG